GGAGGAAUAUUGGGUCAAUGGGCGAGAGCCUGAACCAGCCCAGUCGCGUGAGGGAAGACGGUCCUACGGAUUGUAAACCUCUUUUGUCGGGGAGUAAUAGGCGGGACGUGUCCUGCUGUGAGAGUACCCGAAGAAAAAGCAUCGGCUAACUCCGUGCCAGCAGCCGCGGUAAUACGGAGGAUGCGAGCGUUAUCCGGAUUUAUUGGGUUUAAAGGGUGCGCAGGCGGCGUGCCAAGUCAGCGGUCAAAGUUCCGGGCUCAACCCGGUGAUGCCGUUGAAACUG
rnacentral:rRNA from 1 species